UAAAAGAAAGGAACUCCAUUAUUUUCAAGAAAGGUACUUUUCAGGCAUCUUCUUGUAAAAUCAUAGUCAGACUCAGGCAUGGAAAAAUGCAUGUGGUAUGAACGCUCUUAACCCCACAUUUGACUCAAUGGUUGACCAAAUCCACAUUCGGGCCAGCCUUGUUAAAUAACCAAAUACAUCAAGGAAACAAAGAAGUCAAAUAGACAGACCAUUGAUGCAGAAAACAUCAUAAUACUUGUUGACAUUGGUUUUAGUUGAGUCUGUCAUUCUGUUAUGUUCUGAUUUGUCCCUUGUGUCUAUUUAAGUGUAUUUGUUUCAUUGUAAUAAAAAGUGUGACAUAAGUGAGAUCAUGGUAAUACUAAGAAAUAGAGAGUGAAACCGAGAGAGAGAGAGAGAACAAAAGUUGUGUUGCUCUGUGUUGUACAGAGUUGUGUUGGAGGGGCUUGUUCAAGUUGCCUUAGUGUUGUAAUAGCUGACUUCAAGAUUGAUAGUGCAAGAACUGAACUCAUUUUCAAGGAUUAGACUCUCUCCAUUGGAGAGUU